GUCUUUUUGUUUAUGAUUUAAAGUCUAGCCUGCCCACUGAAAAUUUUUUGAAUGGCCGCGGUAUCUUGACCGUGCAAAGGUAGCAUAAUAAUUAGUUUUUUAAUUAAAAGCUGGAAUGAAUGGUUGAACGAAGAAAGUUCUGUCUCUGUUUAAAUUUUUUAGAAUUUUAUUUUUAAGUUAAAAAGCUUAAAUAUUUUUAAAAGACGAGAAGACCCUAUAGAGUUUUAUAUUUUUUUAUUUUUUAUGAGUUUUGGAAAAUAUUUUAAUUAAAUAAAAAAUUAUUUUGUUGGGGUGAUAGAAAAAUUUAUAAAACUUUUUUUAUAUUUAAACAUUAAUUUAUGAUUUAUUGAUCCAUUAUUAUGAUUAAAAGAUUAAAUUACCUUAGGGAUAACAGCGUAAUUUCUUUAAAGAGUUCUAAUCGAAAAAGAAGAUUGCGACCUCGAUGUUGGAUUAAAAUUAAAUUUUGGUGUAGAAGCUAGAAGAUUAAGUCUGUUCGACUUUUAAAAUUUUACAUGAUCUGAGUUUAAACCGGUGUAAGCCAGGUUGGUUUCUAUCUUUAAAAAUUUAUUUCAUUUUAGUACGAAAGGACCAAGUGUAAGUAAAAUUUGUUUUAAAUUGAUUAAUAU
rnacentral:rRNA from 1 species